AGUGAACGCUGGCGGUAGGCCUAACACAUGCAAGUCGAACGGCGGCACAGUAAAAGCUUGCUCUUACGGGUGGCGAGUGGCGGACGGGUGAGGAAUACAUCGGAAUCUACUUUUUCGUGGGGGAUAACGUAGGGAAACUUACGCUAAUACCGCAUACGACCUACGGGUGAAAGCAGGGGAUCUUCGGACCUUGCGCGAUUGAAUGAGCCGAUGUCGGAUUAGCUAGUUGGCGGGGUAAAGGCCCACCAAGGCGACGAUCCGUAGCUGGUCUGAGAGGAUGAUCAGCCACACUGGAACUGAGACACGGUCCAGACUCCUACGGGAGGCAGCAGUGGGGAAUAUUGGACAAUGGGCGCAAGCCUGAUCCAGCCAUACCGCGUGGGUGAAGAAGGCCUUCGGGUUGUAAAGCCCUUUUGUUGGGAAAGAAAAGCAGCAGGUUAAUACCCCGCUGUUCUGACGGUACCCAAAGAAUAAGCACCGGCUAACUUCGUG
rnacentral:rRNA from 1 species